AUUGAACGCUGGCGGCAGGCCUAACACAUGCAAGUCGAACGGUAACAGGAAGCAGCUUGCUGCUUUGCUGACGAGUGGCGGACGGGUGAGUAAUGUCUGGGAAACUGCCCGAUGGAGGGGGAUAACUACUGGAAACGGUAGCUAAUACCGCAUAACGUCGCAAGACCAAAGAGGGGGACCUUAGGGCCUCUUGCCAUCGGAUGUGCCCAGAUGGGAUUAGCUAGUAGGUGGGGUAACGGCUCACCUAGGCGACGAUCCCUAGCUGGUCUGAGAGGAUGACGCGCAAAACUGGAACUGAGACACGGUCCAGACUACUACGGGAGGCAGCAGUGGGGAAUAUUUGAUAAUGGGCGGAAGCCUGAUGCAGACAUACCGCGUGGGUGAGGAAGGCCUUCGGGUUGGAAAGCCCUUUUGGCGGGAAAGAAAAGAAGCAGGUGAAUACCACGCUGUUCGGACGGUACCCAAAGAAUAAGCAACGGCUAACUUCGUG
rnacentral:rRNA from 1 species